rnacentral:tmRNA from 1 species
GGGGCUGAUUCUGGAUUCGACGGGAUUUGCGAAACCCAAGGUGCAUGCCGAGGGGCGGUUGGCCUCGUAAAAAGCCGCAAAAAAUAGUCGCAAACGACGAAAACUACGCUUUAGCAGCUUAAUAACCUGCUUAGAGCCCUCUCUCCCUAGCCUCCGCUCUUAGGACAGGGAUCAAGAGAGGUCAAACCCAAAAGAGAUCGCGUGGAAGCCCUGCCUGGGGUUGAAGCGUUAAAACUUAAUCAGGCUAGUUUGUUAGUGGCGUGUCCGUCCGCAGCUGGCAAGCGAAUGUAAAGACUGACUAAGCAUGUAGUACCGAGGAUGUAGGAAUUUCGGACGCGGGUUCAACUCCCGCCAGCUCCACCA